rnacentral:sRNA from 1 species
UCUUCUGCAUCAGGUGUGGGCUUGUGCUCGUGCUUGUUACAGAACAACCAACCCCGGGCGCAGUAUGCGCCAAGGAAAACUAACAAGAGAGCACGAUCUCAGGCCCCCAUACAUGGUGUGCUUGGGAYGCGGUGCRUUCUUUCACAUUAUCUAUAACGACUCUCGGCAACGGAUAUCUCGGCUCUCGCAUCGAUGAAGAACGUAGCGAAAUGCGAUACUUGGUGUGAAUUGCAGAAUCCCGUGAACCAUCGAGUCUUUGAACGCAAGUUGCGCCCCAAGCUCUUAGGCUGAGGGCACGUCUGCCUGGGUGUCACGCAUCAUUGCCCCACCCCACCCCUAUGGGGCCAGGUGGUGUGGGCGGAGAAUGGCCUCCCGUGAACAACCACUCACGGUUGGCCCAAAUAUGAGUGCUCGKUGACCAAAGCCGCGACGAUCGKUGGUGCAAACAUGCCUCUCGAGUUAAUGUCGUGUGCUUAUGUUCUUCCAUCAGAGAGACUCAAGGACCCUGACGCUCUGCAAAAG